CGUACCCAGCGCAAGAACGCGCGGUCGGGCGCCGGGCUCCGCGGCCUUGGCCACCGUGGUUCCUCAGCACCGUCGGGCCGGGGCUGCUGAGCCCACCCAGAAAGGUCGUUUCCCCCGCAGUUUCCAACAUGGCAGGUAGGUUUUAUAGACAUGGAUAAGAAGUCCACACACACAAGUUCUGAAGAUGCUGGGACCAGCAGAAAUGGAGGUAAACACAAACAAAAGAAAAAAAAGCAAAAGCAAAAC